UGAUGAUGCUGAGGACAACUAAUGAGUAAAGAUUUAAAUCUGUCCCAGGCUUGUUACAAAUUUUCCCCAAAUUUCUAUUUGAAACUCAAAAUUUCACUUCUCAGAUU